AUUGAACGCUGGCGGCAGGCCUAACACAUGCAAGUCGAACGAGUGGCGGACGGGUGAGUAAUGUCUGGGAAACUGCCUGAUGGAGGGGGAUAACUACUGGAAACGGUAGCUAAUACCGCAUACCAUCGGAUGUGCCCAGAUGGGAGUAGCUAGUAGGUGGGGUAACGGCUCACCUAGGCGACGAUCCCUAGCUGGUCUGAGAGGAUGACCGGACACACUGGAACUGAGACACGGUCCAGACUCCAACGGGAGGCAGCAAUGGGGAAUAUUGCACAAUGGGAGCAAGCCUGAUGCAGACAUGCCGCAUGUAUGAAGAAGGCCUUCGGGUUGUAAAGUACUUUCAGCGGGGAGGCGUUACCCGCAGAAGAAGCACCGGCUAACUCCGUGCCAGCAGCCGCGGUAAUUC
rnacentral:rRNA from 1 species